rnacentral:rRNA from 1 species
AUUGAACGCUGGCGGCAGGCUUAACACAUGCAAGUCGAGCGGGGGAAGGUAGCUUGCUACCGGACCUAGCGGCGGACGGGUGAGUAAUGCUUAGGAAUCUGCCUAUUAGUGGGGGACAACAUCUCGAAAGGGAUGCUAAUACCGCAUACGUCCUACGGGAGAAAGCAGGGGAUCUUCGGACCUUGCGCUAAUAGAUGAGCCUAAGUCGGAUUAGCUAGUUGGUGGGGUAAAGGCCUACCAAGGCGACGAUCUGUAGCGGGUCUGAGAGGAUGAUCCGCCACACUGGGAGUGAGACACGGCCCCGACUCCGACGGGAGGCAGCAGUGGGGAAUAUUGGACCAUGGGGGAACCCUGAUCCAGCCAUGCCGCGUGUGUGAAGAAGGCCUUAUGGUUGUAAAGCACUUUAAGCGAGGAGGAGGCUACUUUAGUUAAUACCUAGAGAUAGUGGACGUUACUCGCAGAAUAAGCACCGGCUAACUCUGUGCCAGCCGCCGCAGUAA